AACGGAUUAUUCUUUAUAGCUUGCUAUAAAGAAUAGUUAGUGGCAGACGGGUGAGUGAUGCAUAGGAAUCUACCUAGUAGUAUGGGAUAGCCACUAGAAAUGGUGGGUAAUACUGUAUAAUCCCUGCGGGGGAAAGAUUUAUCGCUAUUAGAUGAGCCUAUGUUAGAUUUGCUAGUUGGUAGGGUAAAGGCCUACCAAGGCGAUGAUCUAUAGCUGGUCUGAGAGGAUGAUCAGCCACACUGGAACUGAGAUACGGUCCAGACUCCUACGGGAGGCAGCAGUAGGGAAUAUUGGACAAUGGGCGCAAGCCUGAUCCAGCUAUGCCGCGUGAGUGAGGAAGGCCUUAGGGUUGUAAAACUCUUUCAGUAGGGAAGAUAAUGACGGUACCUACAGAAGAAGUCCCGGCAAACUCCGUGCCAGCAGCCGCGGUAAUACGGAGGGGGCAAGCGUUGUUCGGAAUUAUUGGGCGUAAAGGGCAUGUAGGCGGUUCGGUAAGUUAAAGGUGAAAUGCCAGGGCUUAACCCUGGAGCUGCUUUUAAUACUGCCAGACUAGAGUCCGGGAGAGGAUAGCGGAAUUCCUAGUGUAGAGGUGAAAUUCGUAGAUAUUAGGAGGAACACCAGUGGCGAAGGCGGCUAUCUGGUCCGGUACUGACGCUGAGGUGCGAAAGCGUGGGGAGCAAACAGGAUUAGAUACCCUGGUAGUCCACGCUGUAAACGAUGAGUGCUGAAUGUGGGGAUUUUUUAUCUCUGUGUUGUAGCUAACGCGUUAAGCACUCCGCCUGGGGACUACGGUCGCAAGACUAAAACUCAAAGGAAUUGACGGGGACCCGCACAAGCGGUGGAGCAUGUGGUUUAAUUCGAUGCAACGCGAAAAACCUUACCACUCCUUGACAUGGAGAUUAGAUCCUUCUUAACGGAA
rnacentral:rRNA from 1 species